UACUGGAUUACACAACAGUGUAACCCAGGGCAGAGGAGGCCCUCAAAAAGCCCAAGGCAAGCAGAGAAUAUGUAGUGAGGGCCCGCCAACUCGCCAGAGGUUUGUGCUACACCCCAGUGUAGAUUAUUGAGAACUAAAUGACCAAAUUAUAACAGUUACAUAGUUAUUUGUAUAAAAUGUUUUAUUUGAACAUGUAUACCUGGCUGGGGACACAGACAUGUUUAUGGAAUUUAAAAACUCAAACUCUUAUAUACAAUUCCUUUAAUUAUUAAAAUAGAGUCUAUGGCAACUGUAACAAGACCUCUCCAGCAUGAUAAAUGCUGUGUCACUGGAGCUGCAGUGUCACUAUUCUGACCACGAAGACUACAAGUUGACACAGAGGCUAUCAUUCAACAAUAUUUUAUCCUCAAGUUCAUGGGGCAAUGCUUUGACUAAUCUUCUCUGCACUGCACUAUGUGGCUGACUGGAUAAUUGACUGCUGUGGUUCAUCAAAGACCAAACCCUCAGUAGGAUGACUAUCCCACAGCAAACGGCAGGACGUGUGGACUGUCUCUAACAAUGAAGAAAAGAAAAACAAUCCCCUCUCUUAAUAAUAAAUAAAUGGGCCUUAAGUGUACAUUCACACUUGUCCUUGUAGGGUCCUGGUUUGAGCCCAGUUUAGCUCAUGCCUUGGUUUGGUCCUGUUCUGGCCCUGGACUAAUCCAUGAAUAGUUCUCUGUUUAGUCCAAUUUUAAUCUGAAUUUUAAUGUGGAAGUGUGAACUCACCCAAAGUAUAAUGUAUGCAAGAGAGGUCUAUUGUGACCAUCACUGCACUUGUUGUAAUGAUGACUUUUCUGAAAACGUCCCACUGGGAAGUAGGAUAGUGUCUGAUGAACUAACAAGUACUGCAAUGGCACAGGGCAUUUUAAUCAGAAAAUAAACUGGUAUGCAUCAA